rnacentral:hammerhead_ribozyme from 1 species
AUCAGAUGACGAGUCCCAAAUAGGACGAAAUGAGCAUCCUGGAU